UUUGAGCCAGCAAUGAGGCUUUUGUGGAUUGCCAUUCCCAGUUCUGAGUGCUGGGAAAAGAUGCAGAGCCCGGGCAGGCUGAGGAUUCAGGAGACCCGUGGUCCACCUCCAGCUGGGCUAAGAGUUCCUAAUUCUAUAUUUUAAGAUUCAGAAAUGCUUCAUUUCUGGCUCCUUCUCUCCCCGUCUCUACAAUAAAUUCUUUCUCCUCAUCUGGUGGGGGUGUGGCCAGAUGUGCUACUGGAUUAUUCCCCCUGGACAUGUCUGUUGCCAUGUGUCUGUUCCUCACCUUGCUGGGCCUCACCCUUCCUCUGGCUGGAACUGUCUACGUGGCAGCCACCGGGUGGAGGUCAGACCGCAAGGCAUCACCCACACACGGAGCGCAUUCGGCCACUUACGGGAGUCUGCCUUUGAGAGAGCGGGUGAGGAGUGAGCAAAGAAACACAAUCCAACGGACUGAUUGCCUUGCCCAUCCCUCACUGUCAGGAACCCCGAGCAGAGGGAAAAGUAGGUAUUUAUUAUUUCAAGACCGCUCAUGAGAGGUGACUUAGAGGACGACACUAUUAGAAAAUAAUCCCUGCAGAGCUGGGGUCUAGUGAUGCCCGAGAGCUUCUAAAAGCUGGAGUGAAGGUUGGGUCUCUACUCUUCACAGUUCAGUCUUUGU